UACGUAGGGGGCUAGCGUUGUCCGGAAUCAUUGGGCGUAAAGCGCGCGUAGGCGGCCAGAUAAGUCCGGUGUGAAAGUCAAAGGCUCAACCUUUGAAUGCCGCUGGAAACUGUCUGGCUAGAGUCCGGAAGGGGCGAGUGGAACUCCUGGUGUAGCGGUGAAAUGCGCAGAUAUCAGGAGGAACACCAAUGGCGAAGGCAGCUCGCUGGAACGGUACUGACGCUGAGACGCGAAAGCGUGGGGAGCGAACAGG
rnacentral:rRNA from 1 species